CAAAAAUAAAUUUCAUUUCCACCAAACUGCUUUAUUUGCUUGGGAGCAGCACCAGUCUUAAGUUUGUUAUUGCUGAGCUCAAAGUGACUUUCAGUGAAUCCUGAUUAUUAAGGCCCUGGCCAGGGGUUUUUUUUUUUUUUUUUUUAAAGUCUCCCCUCCACCUUCUACCUCUGGUCAGGGUCGAUCAAUACUUCCCCCGUAGCUUAUCACUAAUGUGCAACUGGCUGUUUGUCCAAACUCUGCUCUGUCUACAUAAAGACUUGGAUGGGACAGCCCUGAACCCAAAUGCACCACGGAUCACUUCACGAACCUGCAGCUGCGGACGCUCUACUGGACUUAAAACUGGCAUUAACAAAGAGACACUGGCAUGAGAAGGAAGACCGAGAGUAGAAGAGAAAAAGAGUAGCUGCAGGGAAAAGUGCAACUAUUGAGUAUGAAUGAAUCUGGAAAGACCUUUUGAAAAUUAAGGUGCACACAGCUGCAGUCAUCCCCACAAUCAGUUAGGAAAAAAAAGACUAGACUGGACUUUGGACAUACUGGAUAAGCCUAGAAUAUUUACAUGACACUAUGGCUUUUUUUUUCUUUUCCUUCAAAAUCUGUUAUUGUCUGUUUUUACUGCUUUAAAAAAAAAAAAAAAAAAAAAAAAAAUUGGCCAAGUAUAAACUGCACAAUUUAUUUAAUCUGGAUUUUUCUUUCCUGAUUUUACACUUUUCCCCCGUUUUGUUUCACCAGGUCACCCAUCCACCACUUUGCACCAACAGCGCCUCUGUCUGCAGAAAACCUUGUCCUCCAGAGCUGUGGAGUGUGACAAUGGUGUUUGUUUCCUCUCCGUCAAACGCCAUUAUCACACUAAAUAGCUACAGUGUGAAAAGCACCUCGGCGCACUCCUUCACUUUUGGGUUUAAGUGUUUGUUUGGUUUUUUUUUUUGUUUUUUUUAAUAAAUCCUCCUGUUUUAAAUUUGUUGUUCACACUGUAAAGCAAGACUGUAUGUCAGCUGUGCCAGUGGCUCUGUGCACACUACACCAGAGCAGGAGAUGGAAAUAGACAUUUGGUGUGUUUAUGCAUCGUAUGUGAUGCUGAGCCUCUGAGUGUGGCCUACUUUCUUUUUGGAUUCAAGGUGCUAAUUUGCUGCUAGAGACCUUAAAACAGGCCUUGGUUUACUACUACUGCUGAUGCCAGAGUUGUAAAUGUAACGCCUAUUGCACAUUUGUCUCUCUGUUUACCGUAAAUAAAGUGCUUUUGAUUUGUUGCUGA